UACGUAGGGUGCGAGCGUUAAUCGGAAUUACUGGGCGUAAAGCGUGCGCAGGCGGUCCGCAAAGUCUGAUGUGAAAGCCCCGGGCUCAACCUGGGAACUGCAUUGGAAACUAACGGGCUCGAGUGUGGCAGAGGGGGGUGGAAUUCCACGUGUAGCAGUGAAAUGCGUAGAGAUGUGGAGGAACACCGAUGGCGAAGGCAGCCCCCUGGGCUAACACUGACGCUCAGGUACGAAAGCGUGGGGAGCAAACAGG
rnacentral:rRNA from 1 species